CCCCGCUAAAAUAUGUUUGUUUUAUUUUUCAAUAAUUUGUUGUUAGAGUUUUGCUUCCACUUUGAAAUUAGAGUAUUUUGUCUAGAUUGUUGACCAAAAAUUACAAUGAAAUCCAUUUUAAUCACACACAAAAGUUGAGGGGUGUAUAUACAUUCUGUACACACUGUAUCGAUGCUUUAAAAAGUGUGAUGCGUCUUGCUGUCUUCAGAAGCCAACUCCAAUCUCUCUGUGGUUUGUGGGUGGAAGCACAUCAUGCAUCUUUUUUGAGCUAGCUCUCAUGUGUAUGACAGUUUAACUUUUGAUCGGUCUGGCAAGCUAUGGCAUGAUGGUAAACUGGCUGAUUUUUAAGAGAAAUUCCACAGAAAAACUGUUAUUCUCAAGAUGUCCCCUCCAACUGGUUAUUCUCCUAUUGACCUUGAGCACCACAACACAUUCAGGCAGGCCUGAAGUCCCAGGAGAAGGUAUAUGGGCUAUAUUAAACAAACCCAUACAGUUUUCUGGAUCCAGUAUACCUUUGAAACUAAUCAAAACAGUGGAAUGGCGUCACAAAAGUGGAAACUCCCAGACAUUCUGUCUUCUCCAUAAAAUGGAUGGGAACAUCACCAACAUAUUUCCUGCAUGCAAUGGCACUGCACACUUCCUUUCCCACAAUAAAACCUUUGUUCUAUACUCAGUGAGGGCAGAGGAUGAAGGUGUCUAUGAAGAAAGAGUGAUUUAUAAGAAUAACACUAUGGUCUCAUUAAAUAUAUCACUGUCAAUAAUUUCUCCUCCCUCCACCCUGCACAUCAGCGUAAACUUCUCCCAUGCGCUGCUAACAACGACCUGUGAGGUCAAGGGGUCAAACCUCUCCUAUUGGUGGCUGAAGGAUGACCAGCCCUUCCUCACGGAUUCCAGAUUGUUAUUGGGUGAGAGAAACCAAACCUUACAGGUGAACAACCUGACCAAGGCUGACUGUGGGAAAUACACCUGCUUGGUGGCCAACAAGGCAGGCCUGUCACGGGGCCACUUCCAACUCACAGAUAACCAAUCCUCUGUGUGUAAGGAUGGAAUUGUCCGAGCCACACUGCCGAUAGGCCAGAGAGAAGUUCUAAUCAUGGUAAUAUUGGGCAUCUGCAUAUUCGGCCUGCUCAUCAUCAUUGCCUGCAUCAGGAGAUAUCACCAGGGUAGAAAUACGGAAGCAUCUGGCAGGACUUUGCAACAAGGAGCAGCAUCCUGUCAGAAACAGGAGAGGAAGGAGAGACAGAGACACCCCUGUGUCCGAAAAUCAUGUGUAUGAUGAGAUUGGAGAUGAAGAGGAGCAGCUUGAACAAGAGGUGGUGAUCCCAUUGCCAUGCGUCUACACAGACUUCCUUCCAAACAGAAAACAAGCAGAGCCCCUAAAGGACUUUGGGUACUCCACCAUUGGGCCAGCUAGCCUAAGCGGAGUCACAGUGAUCGAGGCAAGCGAACAAGGUCUUGAAUGUAGGUUCCAAGUGGAGACAGCGUAGCAUACUAAAAAUAUCGAAUAAAAUUGUAUUUGUCACAUGCGCCGAAUACAAUAGGUGUAGACUUUACCAUGGGAUGCUUAGUUACGAGCCCUUUCCCAACAAUGCAGAGUUAAAAACGUAAGAAAAAUCUGCUAAAAAAAGUAAAUAGUAACAAAAUAAAGACUAUAUAUUAUUUAUUUUUAUUUCAACUUUAUUUAACCAGGUAGGCUAGUUGAGAACAAGUUCUCAUUUACAACUGCGACCUGUGACGACCCUCCCACUCUGUCUGCCGUAUUCUCUCUUUGUUCUUGUUUCCUUAUAAGGAUGCUGGUGGGCGGAGUUGGGAGGGUCAUCAGCUACAUGGGAAACAACUGGGCCCGGUGUCUCCCAGGAUAAAUACACCACUUCCCCAUUCAUGGAAGAGACUCUCUCCAUGCAGAUACUUUGAUAGUUUUUGUUGUGUUUCUAGCACCUUUCAACACCCUGCAUUAUCACAUUCAUGCAUGCAAAACACUCACUUACACUACUGAUUACUGAUUACACACACGAUUGUAUAUUUUCCUUAGUUGCUUUACUUAAUAAAUAUAUAUUUUGUUACUCCUUAUCUCCACGUUGUCUCCCUUUUGUUACGGGCUUUGAGCCAGUUCGUGACAGACCUGACCAAGAUAAAGCAUAGCAGUGUGAACAGACAACACCACAGAGUUACACAUGGAGUAAACAAUAAACAAGUCAUUAACAGUAGAAAAAAGAGUCUAUAUACAUUGUGUGCAAAAGGCAUGAGGAGGUAGGCAAAUAAUUACAAUUUAGCAGAUUAACACUGGAGUGAUAAAUGAUCAGAUGGUAAUGUGCAGGUAGAUACUGGUGUGCAAAAGAGCAGAAA
ensembl:lncRNA